UCCGCCUCCUGAGCGUGCAACUUUGACGCUGUGUAUAAAUACUGGAACAAAAGAACUUCCUCAAUGCCCGGCGAAACGGCAAUAAAUAAACUCACAGUUAUGCGUCGCGAUCCGAAAUGAUCGAUUAUUAUAAUGAUUAUGAUUAUUAUUAUUAUUAGAUCUGCGAGGUAAUGGUGAUGACUGCAUUUGAUACUUCUUUUUUUCCAAACCAAGGAAUACUUCGCACAUUCGCGUUUCUCUUCAAAUGGGUCACAGGGAACCUGGAGCCUAUCCCAGGGGACUAAGGCACAAGGCAGGGGACACAUUGGACAGGGUGCCAACUCAUCGCUGGGCACAGUCACACACACACACACACACACACACACACACACACACACACACAUUCACACACCACAGACAAUUUAGAGAUACCAAUCAGUCUAAAACACAUGUCGUUGGACUGGGGGAGGAAACCCCCUAAGCACAGAACAUGCAAGCAAACUUGCUAACCAAUUAGUCCCCCCCCCCAAUAAACGCAAUAUCACACUUGCAUGACCUGCAGUCUCAUGCCUACUGCUGAAUCACUGCCAUGCUGAUAUUCAAUAUUACAACAUAUACAGUUGCAAUCAAAAUUAUUCAACCCCAAUUGCAAAUCAGGUUUAUUGUCAAAAUUUACAGACUUUCAGCUGUUUGCAAUGAACAAAUCAAACGUAAUUGAAAUAGUUCAACACAAUGAAUGCUUCAAGUGGUUUCUCCAAAUUCAAACGAAAAUGCAACUUAUAUGAUUUCUCCAGUUUCAAAAUUAUUCAACCCCUUAAAUAGAAUCCCUCACAACAGCACAAAUAUGCAAGACAGGUGUUGUCUCAAGCACACCUUUUGCAACUAAUCAAGGGCUUCAUUAGUUGCACCAGGUGUGCUUGAGCUGGAACACAUGAAAUACCUGAACUGGCUAGGGGUAGAAAAAGGAAGCUCUCAACAGCUGCAAUCAGAUUUCUGAGAAGGCAGGUUGUGAAAAACCCUCGAGUGACUGCAAAAGACCUGCACCAAGACUUGGUGGCGACAGGCACUGAGGUUUCAGUGAGCACAGUAAGGAGUGUACUAAAUGCAGAAGGUUUCCAUGCCAGAACUCCAAGAUGUACACCCCUACUGAUCCAAAAGCACAAGAAACGUCGGCUCAAAAUCAUAUAAAUAAGCCAAAGAAAUUUUGGGAUUCUGUUCUGUAGAGUGAUGAAACAAACUGCAACUUUUCAGCACAAUGGAUCAGCAGUAUGUCUGGAGGAAGAAGAAUGAAGAAAGAACACUCUGUCCACGGUCAAGCGUGGUGGUGGCUCAGUGAUGCUCUGGGGCUGCUUUGUAUCCUCUGGCACUGGAAACCUUCAGUGUGUGGAAGGAAAGAUGGAUUCAUUGAAGUAUCAGGAAAUCCUAGGAGAAAAUGUCAUGCCGUCUCUGAGGAAACUGAAGCUUGGGCAUCAUUGGACCUACCAACAGGACAAUGAUCCCAAGCAUACCUCAAAUUCCACCAAGGCUUGAUUGCAGAAGAAGUCUUGGAAGAUUCUACAGGGUCAUCACAGUCACCUAACUUGAACCCCAUAGAAAAUAUCUGGUGGGAUUUGAAGAAGGCGGUUGCAGUAUGCAAACCCAAGAAUAUUACUGACCUGGAGGCCAUUGCUCAUGAGGAAUGGACUAAGAUUACUCAGGAACGCUGCCAGAAGCUGGUGUCUGGCUAUGCAUCUUGUUUGCAGUAGGUCAUAACAGCAAAAGAAUGUUCUACUAAGUACUAAAGAUGCUUGCCAUGAAGGGGUUAGUAAGUAAGUAAAUUUUAUUUAUAAAGCACAUUUAACACAGCGAAGCUGACCAAAGUGCUGAACAGAGUAAAGAAAAGUAAAAUAGAAAACAGAAUAAAACCAAAUAAAGACAGACAAUAGACAAUUAUAAAAAUUAGAUUAAAAUGCCUAGGAGAAGAGAUAUGUUUUAAACCUUUUAUUAAAAGUGGUUAUUGAAUAAUUUUGAAACUGGAGAAACCAUUAUAAGUUGCAUUUUCAGUUGAGUCUGGGGAAACCAUUUGAAGCAUUCGUUGUGUUGAACUAUUUCAGUUGUUUUUGUUUGAUUUGUUCAUUGCAAACAGCUGAAAGUCUGUAAAUUUUGACAGUAAACCUGAUUUGCAAUGGGGGUUGAGUAAUUUUGAUUGCAACUGUAGCGAUAUUGCUUAAUUAUUUUCUAUUAUGAAAAACUCUAUUCUGUUCUAUUCUGUACAUGUUCCUUUUUCAUGUAACACAAUUUGAUAUGCAAAUAAUAAUGACUAUUAAUAAUGAUCCAAUGAAUAUGCAGAUUAGAAUGUGACGUCAUCUGGUGACUUCUAGCCACUUUUAAAGCAUCUAUUAUCUGCUUUCCCCCGAAAAGAGUUAACAACCGUGUUUAUUACACAAUAUUCACCCUUCUAAAACACUACACUGUUACUGUGUACAGUAUGUUGGCUAGAUGCGUGUGUUGAAUUACACUUAUAGUCGGUGGCAGAGCCUCUUUUACAAAGAGAAUAAUAUUACACACAAUGUGUCUUAUAAUAGAAUAUCGUUAAAAGCUGGACCAGUCACUUUUAAUGAUCUGUAAGCAAUAUUAAGAUGAAUGUAACGUUGGCGAAUGUCCGCUCUGUUGGAGCGCUACAGCGGGCAGUAAACAGAAAGGGGGCGGGGAUUGUCUCCGUGCUCCUCCAAUACGGUCGCGCGCUGCUGAUGGGGUGAGCGCGUCACUGGCGAUGCAGCUCGCGCUCACUGCUGUUGUCACGGCGCCGCAGACUCCACUUCAACAUCCUUGGAACAGCGGUGCUACAUCACCUUUCUCACAUAAUAAGACUUAGGUGGCAGUAAACAUUUCUUCUAAAAACUGCCUUUCAUCUAUAACCGGAAAUCAGCCCUGAUUUUACUGUAUUUUAUAAAUUGUAUAAAUUUUUGAUGUAUUUUAUUUUUUAUUGUUUUUAUCUACACUAAUAUUCACAAUAACUCACGAGUAAAUUAUUUUCGGCUAACUGCAUGGAGAUUUUGUCUUUCAUGAGACAGGAACCCUUUUGAGUUUUUACUAAGCAGCCUGAAAACGUCCUUGUGUCACAUUACAUGCGCUUUAUAUGUGCCUCCCGAAUAACCAAGACACAAAAGACCGUGCACGUGAUUGACGUAUUAAUUAAUCUCAGUAUGGUUCUUGUACUGGCAUGCCAUACCCCUCGCUUUGUAAGUGAAACUUCAGCACUGUGAUAUUUGCUCUCUGUUGGCUCUUCUGCGCUGUCUCCGUGGGUUGCUAUAGCUGGUUUGAGGAUGCAUUUCUUUGGACCAAUCGUAGGCCGCGCUCUCUGUAACGUCAUACAACAACGUGAGAGGGGGCGUGGCUCCGGCAAAUUUGAAUGAAGAGUGGAGCUUUCGGCGCCAUUUUCGAGUGAGUAGCGGUAGGAAUAACAGCUGCUGCGGUGCGGCUUUGAGGGGUCCCCCCCUCCCGUAUUCGGAUUAAAUGUCAAUUAGGUUAUUUUUAAGUAUUUGAAAAUUAAAAAAAAAAAAAAAACAACAA